CCUCUGUGCCGGAGCUUACGCGGUUAGUAUCCCGCCUGGGGACUUCGGUCGCAAGGCUCUUACUCUCAAGGACUUGACGGGGGCCCGCACAAGCAGCGGAGCGUGUGGUUUAAUUCGAUGCUACGCGAAGAACCUUACCAGGGCUUGACAUGCAAGUAGUAGUGAAGCGAAAGCGGAACGAUCCUUCGGGAAGCUUGCACAGGUGCUGCAUGGCUGUCGUCAGCUCGUGCCGUGAGGUGUUAGGUUAAGUCCUGUAACGAGCGCAACCCUUGCCGUUAGUUACAAGUGUCUAACGGGACUGCCCGGCUCAACUCCCCAGGAAGGUGGGGAUGACGUCAAGUCAGCAUGGCCUUUAUGUCCUGGGCUACACACACGCUACAAUGGCCGGUACAAUGGGUAGCCAAGCCGUGAGGCGGAGCCAAUCCUGUAAAGCCGGUCUCAGUUCGGAUUGCAGGCUGCAACUCGCCUGCAUGAAGUCGGAGUUGCUAGUAACCGCAGGUCAGCCACACUCCGGUGAUACGUUCCCGGGCAUUGUACACACCGCCCGUCACGUCAUGGGAGCUGGU
rnacentral:rRNA from 1 species